rnacentral:misc_RNA from 1 species
GAAAUGCGAUAAGUAAUGUGAAUUGCAGAAUUCAGUGAAUCAUCGAAUCUUUGAACGCACCUUGCGCUCCUUGGUAUUCCUUGGAGCAUGCCUGUUUGAGUAUCAUGAAAUCUUCAAAGUAAAUCUUUUGUUAACUCAAUUGGUUUCUACUUUGGUAUUGGAGGUCUUUGCAGCUUCACACCUGCUCCUCUUUGUUCAUUAGCUGGAUCUCAGUGUUAUGCUUGGUUCCACUCGGCGUGAUAAGUUAUCUAUCGCUGAGGACACUGUAAAAGGUGGCCAAGGUAAAUGCAGAUGAACCGCUUCUAAUAGUCCAUUGACUUGGACAAUACUUUUAUGAUCUGAUCUCAAAUCAGGUAGGAAUACCCACUGAACUUAAGC